rnacentral:rRNA from 1 species
UACGAAGGGUGCAAGCGUUAAUCGGAAUUACUGGGCGUAAAGGGUGCGUAGGCGGUUCGUUAAGUCUGUCGUGAAAUCCCCGGGCUCAACCUGGGAAUGGCCAUGGAUACUGGCGAGCUAGAGUGUGUCAGAGGAUGGUGGAAUUCCCGGUGUAGCGGUGAAAUGCGUAGAGAUCGGGAGGAACAUCAGUGGCGAAGGCGGCCAUCUGGGACAACACUGACGCUGAAGCACGAAAGCGUGGGGAGCAAACAGG